AAAUUGAAGAGUUUGAUCAUGGCUCAGAUUGAACGCUGGCGGCAGGCCUAACACAUGCAAGUCGAACGGUAGCACAGAGAGCUUGCUCUCGGGUGACGAGUGGCGGACGGGUGAGUAAUGUCUGGGAAACUGCCUGAUGGAGGGGGAUAACUACUGGAAACGGUGGCUAAUACCGCAUAACGUCGCAAGACCAAAGAGGGGGACCUUCGGGCCUCUUGCCAUCAGAUGUGCCCAGAUGGGAUUAGCUUGUUGGUGAGGUAACGGCUCACCAAGGCGACGAUCCCUAGCUGGUCUGAGAGGAUGACCAGCCACACUGGAACUGAGACACGGUCCAGACUCCUACGGGAGGCAGCAGUGGGGAAUAUUGCACAAUGGGCGCAAGCCUGAUGCAGCCAUGCCGCGUGUAUGAAGAAGGCCUUCGGGUUGUAAAGUACUUUCAGCGGGGAGGAAGGUGUUGUGGUUAAUAACCGCAGCAAUU
rnacentral:rRNA from 1 species